UACGUAGGGUGCAAGCGUUGUCCGGAAUUAUUGGGCGUAAAGAGCGUGUAGGCGGCCAGAUAGGUCUGCUGUGAAAACUCGAGGCUCAACCUCGAGCUGUCGGCGGAAACCAUCUGGCUAGAGUCCGGAAGAGGAGAGUGGAAUUCCUGGUGUAGCGGUGAAAUGCGCAGAUAUCAGGAAGAACACCUAUGGCGAAGGCAGCUCUCUGGGACGGUACUGACGCUGAGACGCGAAAGCGUGGGGAGCGAACAGG
rnacentral:rRNA from 1 species